CUACGGGAGGCUGCAGUCGAGAAGCUUCGGCAAUGGGCGAAAGCCUGACCGAGCGAUGCCGCGUGAGCGAAGAAGGCCCUAUGGGUUGUAAAGCUCUGUCAGAUUGGGAAGAAAGCUUCGGGGUUAAUACCCCCGAAGUGUGACGGUACCAUCAGAGGAAGCACCGGCUAACUCCGUGCCAGCAGCCGCGGUAAUACGGAGGGUGCAAGCGUUGUUCGGAUUCACUGGGUAUAAAGGGUGCGCAGGCGGCCUGGGAAGUCAGGGGUGAAAUAUGACGGCGCAACCGUCAAACUGCCUCUGAAACUGCCAGGCUUGAGUCCGGGAGAGGAAGGUGGAAUUCCUGGUGUAGCGGUGAAAUGCGUAAAUAUCAGGAGGAACACCGGUGGCGAAGGCGGCCUUCUGGCCCGGAACUGACGCUCAUGCACGAAAGCCAGGGGAGCGAACGGGAUUAGAUACCCCCGUAGUC
rnacentral:rRNA from 1 species